GCCCCGGUAGCUCAGCCUGGGAGAGCGACCGGCUGAAGACCGGUAGGACCCGGGUUCAAGUCCCGGCCGGGGCA
rnacentral:tRNA from 1 species